rnacentral:lncRNA from 1 species
CAAGUUGAGUUGUGUGUGGCACUGAAAAUGGGUGGCAUCUGAAUAAGAAUAGAAUAAGUUGAUUUCAAGUUGAGUUGUGUGUUUAACGAAUGUAAUGAAAUAAACUGAAAUAAAUGAUGUAUGUGGCACCAAGAACGGGGUGUGUUUAUAAAGGAAAUGCUGACCGCAGCGGAAACGGGGUAAGUUACCGGUGCAUGAUAAGAUCGAGUUAUGCCGAGUCUGGGUAUAAGUAACUACAUGUACUGCAAGGUGGACUGUGCCGUGAAAGACAAUGGAUCGCAGGGUGGGUAGUCAUAUAGGAGCUGCAUGAUUGUAUCCCGGGAAGGGCUCCUUGCAGAAAUGCCGCGAUGAGCCUUGUGUGUGAGCGCUAAAUCAUAUAGGUCUAGGUUGAUUGGUGUAUUAAUCUUAUAUGGGGUGAUGAUUGAAUUCAUUACAUUGCUUGAUCUUUUCUUAUCACUGAUUGUUUAAUAGUCAGUUGCUAGUCAGUUCUCUUUUUGCAUUAGAUAUAGAAGUUCAU